rnacentral:rRNA from 1 species
CGCACGGGUGAGUAACGCGUGGAUAUCUGCCUAUUAGUGGGGGACAACUUCGGGAAACCGAAGCUAAUAACGCAUACGCCCUACGGGGGAAAGCAGGGGACCUUCGGGCCUUGUGCUGAUAGAUGAGUCCGCGUCUGAUUAGCUAGUUGGUAGGGUAAAGGCCUACCAAGGCGAUGAUCAGUAUCUGGUUUGAGAGGAUGAUCAGACACACUGGAACUGAGACACGGUCCAGACUCC